AACUAAAAAAAGGUCACAUCUUCACCUCUUUUGAUAGUUCUUGAUUCAACCUCUAGAAAAACUACUUGUCACCCAUAAAACUCUUAAACCAUUUUCCCCUUUGCCUUUUUUACACACAAUAUUGUUUAUGGGGUUCCAGUAUUAGAAGCAUAUUAUUACUAAGUUUGCGGUUUAAGGAUCUUAUAUUAUUGCACCUUUUCUUCUAUUCUAAUAAUUGACCAAAUUUGCCUAUAAAGUUACCAACUUUUUGCUUCAUUACCAUUGGGAUCUUGCAUCCAGACUCAGAGACUCCCUUCUAUUAGUG
rnacentral:misc_RNA from 1 species